UACGGGAGGCAGCAGUGGGGAAUAUUGGACAAUGGGCGCAAGCCUGAUCCAGCCAUGCCGCGUGUGUGAAGAAGGCCUUCGGGUUGUAAAGCACUUUUGUCCGGAAAGAAAAGCUUAGGGUUAAUAACCUUGAGUCAUGACGGUACCGGAAGAAUAAGCACCGGCUAACUUCGUGCCAGCAGCCGCGGUAAUACGAAGGGUGCAAGCGUUACUCGGAAUUACUGGGCGUAAAGCGUGCGUAGGUGGUUUUGUUAAGUCUGAUGUGAAAGCCCUGGGCUCAACCUGGGAAUGGCAUUGGAAACUGGCUUACUAGAGUGCGGUAGAGGGGUGUGGAAUUCCCGGUGUAGCAGUGAAAUGCGUAGAUAUCGGGAGGAACAUCUGUGGCGAAGGCGACACCCUGGGACCAGCACUGACACUGAGGCACGAAAGCGUGGGGAGCAAACGAGGAUUAGAUACC
rnacentral:rRNA from 1 species